AAUAACAAUAAUCAUCAUCACAAUUCCUUCUAAUAUUACACUAGGAAAUUGAGAAUUAACUCAGUCCAACGCGUGAACAUUGUCCAUGGUGAUCUAUCAAAAUCAUGAAAACCAGCCACCGUUGGUUCAACAUACUCCGGCACUCAUCUCAGGGACAUGCCCUGAACUUUAGCUUGAGCCCUUCAGUCGUAAUCUUUGCUUUAUGAAUGGAAUGAAUUUGAAGUAUUUAUAUGAGUGCUAGCUUUUUUGGCUAAAAAUUCUCUCAUUGAUACCAUCAUACUGUAUUAUUAUGGAUCUUCAAGGCUUCAACCAGCUGCAAGCAGAAGAAAUGGCUACCAAACUCCCGCAAGUAUCAUUAACAUUAAUCAGUAUUUAUUCACAGGUAGCGACUGGGUAUUUAUGGCUUGGUUUGCUCCUAGUAACUUAGUUAUUGGACAUAGGUUUUCUUUUCUUUUCUUUUGUAUCAAUUUUAAUUUUCGUGGCUCAUUUGCAACGAAGCUCUAUAAAUGGUAAAUACUGUAGAAAUCUUUUUACAAUAUUACUCGCUGUUGCUAUAUAUAGACACUGGGCUUUGCAAACUUGGAAUGAAGCCGGGGCAUGGCUGUUUUUAUUACCAUAUAUAUGUGUGUUCGUGCCAAUCAUAGGUUUCUGCAAGAGGCAGGAUAUGGAAGGUACGGUAGAUUUUGAAGUUGAAGAAGAAGGCCAAACUCUUACUAAGUUUGAUGUUUUGGAGCCACGAUUGUGAUUUAUAAGCAUAAUGUGCUAUGUUUAGUUGCCAAAUCCUCUGGCCGCGAAUUUUCAUCAGCUAUCUGCCGUCACCAAACCCUCCAGACUAUUUGUUGAUAGGUGAAGGGCAGUCGUCCCAGCACAAAACCAUGGAAGUCAAUCUCUUUGGGGCAAUAAGUCAUGCAAUUAACCUUGAAGCUAUCAGGUUUUUUUUUUUUUUUGGUAAUUCCAGUUUGUGGAUUAUCCUCUAACCAAGCAGUUCGCCGGCCUCCCAUCUCGUGGAGCUUCAAGCACGUCACAAACUUCUUUUGGAGGCAAUAAUUUAUUAUCUUUUAUGUUUAUGUCCCAUCUCCCUUGAUUUUUUCUUACUCCCAACUUCUUGUGACUUGAUCAUUUGAUGUUGAACUUGCCUCUUUGAUGCGUUAAGGGGAUGUGUGGAGGUGCUGGCGUAGAUGGCUUUCCAUUUCUCCGACCUCAUUAAUGGACAAUGUCACAUCUUUUGAAGAUUCUGUCUAUGGAGGAUUUAGUAGUCUGUAUGGGAGGCAAGAACAAGUAUUUACACAAUCAUGAGCCAUGAUUAUUCCAGGCGAGGUGCCUUAAGGAAAAGCUACGGAAUGAAGAAUCUGGUUUGUCAGAUGAUACAAUCUCAAGGCGUUUGUGGAUGUCGUAGCCUCAACAGUUCUGCAUUUAGAGGAGUCACCUUUCAUGGAACCAAAUUGGGAAUUUUCUGAUGAAAGGGCAAGGAGAUUACACGAAUCUUCUUCCUUUAAUUCAUAGAAUUAUCUUGUCUUUAUGCUAUUGAAAGAUGCAGUAUGUUCAUGGUGCUUCGGUUUUGUGCAGGUAAAUUAUAAUUAAUAAACAAGACAAGAUUGCAGUUUUAUAUUAUUCUCAGCAUGAACACCUUGUAAAUUGUCUAGUGGAGGGAUAAGUUGUAAUUAAGUAGAUAAUAAUUUGCAA